AAGACUAUAGACCUGCGGAGUACCAGCGGAGGGAUCAUUAACGUAUCUAUGAUGGGGUGCGGAGCGCCCUGCUCCGGUCGAACGGCCGUGCAGCGGGUGCGCCGCCCCCGUCCCACCUCACAAACCCACUGUGAACAUUCACCGGUGGAGGGGGCUCGGUCUGCGCCGUGUCCCCGAUGCCGAAUACCCAAACUCCAGUUGCAAAGAACGUCGUGCGGACUCGGUGCCGCCUAAAACAUG
rnacentral:misc_RNA from 1 species